GCCAACGCUGCAAGGUAAUCUGAUGCUGUGGAAAACUCUGAUAUUUAGGAUAUUUUUUUUAAAAAAAUAUCCCUUCCCACAAGCUUUGAAUUUCUAGGCCAGAAUAGUUACUGGCAGCAUUAAGCACUCUACCAUAUUCACUGGGAAAUCCCUGGAAGGAAAAUUCAACAUGAUGUUUUCCUUUCAGCUGGGAAAUUCCUUUUGAAUCUGUCUUGCUAAAAAUAGAAAUGUUUCAUUCCCAUUUCCCUUACUAUAGUAUUCAUACCCAGGUUCAUCCCCUCCCCCCAUCCACUUUCACGAACUUCUGUUUCUAUUUCAUUUCCAGCCUUUAGGCUGAUUGUUUGCUUUGAGGCUUGAAAAAGAAGACUUGGCAUUUGAAAAGCAUUUCGAUAUCUACAGUAUAUUGCAGCUACAGUUCUCUAUUGCAUGGGCUGUGUAGAACCAAGUCUGCAAUCCUAUUCAAACCUACUUUGGGUUGAGUCCCAUUGAACUCACUGGGACCUACUUGUGGAGUAAAGGUAAUUUUACAGCCAGGCAGCUGUGAGGUAACUUUAAUCUGCAGAAUUUGAAAAUAUAGUUGUGACUGAGACAGUGGAAAGAGAGGCAAGAGUGGAACGUGGGUGAUAAAAAUGACAUAAAGGCUUUGGAAUGAGUUCUUGUCUGAGCCCCUAAAAGCUGAAGUUAGUUCCAUGAGGUGUAAAAAGCACUCAUAUUUUUCAAACUCCAUGUCCAUUGGAACUGGAGAGGGUUUUUUAUGUGUAGCCUUUUUAUUGAGAAGUUUACAUGUUAGAAAUAGUACAAUACAAUCAACAACAAAACUCUUAACAGAGUUGGACAGUUUUGCUCUUACAUCAACCAUUACUUUAUCAGUGCUCAUUGAAAUAUAGACAGUGAGACUGACUAAGAAUUAAGUGAGAGUAUCUGUAGAGAAUCUCCACCCUGUGAAUUAGGUUAUAUGAGAAAAGAUAACCCUGGGUCCAUUAAGUGGUCUUGUUGAGUUUUGCCUCCAGCUAAUCUACAUUGUUGGGUUAAUUUUUCAUCAAGGGCUGUUUGCUGUACUCUACAUUUGAAUGGAAAAAGCAUCCUUACAUUUCCAGAAGUGCACAUUUUCCAUGCUCGCUGUGUCUAACACUUUUUUAAAUGGGCAUUUGAAGUUGUUUGGAUUCUGAUAAGGUUUCCAGGUUCCACACUAGCUAACCAGAUUUUGCUACAAUAUAUACUAUUCUACCGGAGGGGGGGGGG